rnacentral:rRNA from 2 species
GCGUGGGAAUCUACCUUUUGCUACGGAAUAGCCCCGGGAAACUGGAAUUAAUACCGUAUGUGCCCUUUGACGGUGGACGUUGGAGGGGAAAGAUUUAUCGGCAAAGGAUGAGCCCGCGUUGGAUUAGCUAGUUGGUGGGGUAAAGGCCUACCAAGGCGACGAUCCAUAGCUGGUCUGAGAGGAUGAUCAGCCACAUUGGGACUGGGACACGGCCCAAACUCCUACGGGAGGCAGCAGUGGGGAAUAUUGGACAAUGGGCGCAAGCCUGAUCCAGCCAUGCCGCGUGUGUGAUGAAGGCCU